rnacentral:lncRNA from 1 species
CGGGGCAUGACGGGCACCUCGGCUGGCACGUACUCCACCCUCCGGGGCUCGGGGCAUGACGGGCACCUCGGCUGGCGCGAACUCCACCCUCCGGGGCUCGGGGCCUGAGGAGCAGAUGGUGGCCCUGCGCAGGCGCUCUGCUUGCGGGAGGCUGCACUUUCAGUCAUUAUUUCGAUUUCAUUUUCCACAUGAAAAUAUUUAGAGAUACAGGUCUUGGAAGCCAAGGAAAAAAUGGCUUUUAAAUACCAUGGCUAGUGUGACGUAUCCUGACUAAUGCCGACAGCACACGGAGCCUCUGCCUGCCAGAGGAAGCGGUGAGGAAGAGGUGGUGCGUCGUGUACUUCCCGUUGCUGUUUUAGGACAGCUUGGACAUAGUUUGUUCCAGGGUGCUGCUGAACCAGGUAAACCCAGCCCCCCAUCUCCAGGAGCAGAGGCUGCAAGGACAGCGAGACAAUGAGGCAAUGGCGUGCUGGGGGGAAUCGUGCUAAAGUGAAAGCAUCCUUCGAUCAUUUUUAAGUCAUUCUAGGAUCUUCAGGGCAUCAAAGUUUUGCCUGUGAGCCUCAAUCGGUCUAAUACAAAAAAUACAGACUGUGG